rnacentral:rRNA from 1 species
UACGGAGGGUGCGAGCGUUGUCCGGAAUUACUGGGCGUAAAGCGCGCGUAGGCGGCUUUGCAAGCCAGAGGUGAAAUGCCUGAGCUCAACUUAGGAAUUGCCUUUGGGACUGCGAGGCUUCGAGGACUGGAGAGGUGAGUGGAAUUCCCAGUGUAGAGGUGAAAUUCGUAGAUAUUGGGAAGAACACCAGUGGCGAAGGCGGCUCACUGGCCAGCUUUCUGACGCUAAAGUGCGAAAGCGUGGGGAUCAAACA